rnacentral:rRNA from 1 species
UACGGGGGGGGGCAAGCGUUGUUCGGAAUUACUGGGGCGUAAAGGGCUCGUAGGCGGCCAACUAAGUCGGAUGUGAAAAUCCCCCAAGCUUAACUUGGGGAACUGCAUCCGAUACUGGAUGGCUUGAAUCCGGGAGAGGGGAUGCAGAAUUCCCAGGUGUAGCGGUGAAAUGCGUAGAUAUCAGGAGGAACACCAAUUGCGAAGGGCAGCUCGCUGGGGACGUUACUGACGCUGAGACGCGAAAGCGUGGGGAGCAAACAGG